rnacentral:rRNA from 1 species
GACGAACGCUGGCGGCGUGCUUAACACAUGCAAGUGGAGCGACGAACCGGGGCUUGCCCCGGGGCAGAGCCGCGAACGGGUGAGUAACACGUGGGUAACCUGCCUCAAUGAUUGGGACAACCCGGGGAAACUCGGGCUAAUACCAAAUGUGUUCACUCCUUCCAAGGGGAGUGAGGAAAGGAAGCUUCGGCCUCCGCAUUGAGAUGGGCCCGCGGCCCAUUAGCUUGUGGUGAGGUAACGGCUCACCAAGGCUUCGAUGGUAGCUGGUCUGAGAGGACGAUCAGCCACACUGGGACUGAGACACGGCCCAGACUCCUACGGAGGCAGCAGUGGGAAUCUUGCACAAUGCGCGAAAGCGUGAUGCAGCAACGCCGCGUGGGGGAAGACGGCC